GGACUUUACGACAUACGUCAGUAAGCUGAUUUUUAUGAAUUUAUGCAAGUUAUUGAUCAUUUGUAUUCAGAGUCCAAGCACCCAAGGGGAAGGUGGAAUCGGUAUCCCUGACAAGUUCAGGUGCUUCCAAAUCCAAGCUAAUCUCACGUAUAGCCAAGAUGGGUCAACCCAUGCUUCCCUUUCUCACUGGGGCCAUUCCAGCUCAGCCUGACCCCAGCGACUCAGAAAUAGAGGAUACCAGUGAAUUGAUUUGUGAUCCCUCUCCUUCACAUUCCCACUCGCCAAAUCCUACACAAAUGCCCUGUAGUUCUCCGUCUCUGUCGUAUCAGCCUGGUGAUGCAGUGCUGCCAGAAGCAGACAUAAACACUACUCAAGGCUUUCAG